AGCUACGACCCCUAGAGAAACGAUAGACUGGGAAAGGAAAUGAGGCAAAGGAAAGGAGAGAAAAGGCCAGAAAAACUUUGAGAAUGAGAGAAAGGAGAGAGAAGGUUGAUUGUUUAAUCCCUCACCUCAACUCCAAGAAGGCGGGAACGAAUGCUGCAGAAACAGCUAACCCAUUCGGGGUUGACUUCAUUUUCAAAGCAGCAACCUAAUAUAACUUCCUUUGGAUAGCACUUAAGUUUGUCAUUUCAGAGAGUUGUGUGUGCUUCGAUUUAAAUAUGUAUAUGAGUUCGAAUGACAAAAACGGGAAAAGGCCGGAGUACAGAGAUGUAGAACAAUGGGGCUGUUUCUGGGAACGCUAAACAUUUGAUCGGGGAGCCUUUGUAUUUAUGAUAUCAACUUACCGGUUUUUAAUUAUUCUCUCAUCGUUCAGCAUUCAAUAAAUAAUUAUAGAGCGCCUACUAUGUGCUAAAUCGUGGAAGCUUGGAUUGCAUCAGUGCACGAAACUAAGAUAACUGCCUUACUGCCUUCAUUAACCUUUACGGAAGGGUCUGGGGGAUGCCUCGUGGAUUAACAACUGGGAUUGAUGCUUUUUCUCUUGCUCUCACAGUCUUCCUAACCUCUAUCCUAGACAGCUCUUUUCUCUGUCAAUCCACUCUUCUUUCUCUCCUUUAAAAGCCCAUGCAUGGUUUGUUUAUAGAGAAAAAAACAGAAGUGUUACCUUUGCUUAUAAAUUAUAUCCAUUUAGAUUUUUCUUUAAGAGAGGAGUAUUUGGACUCCAAGCUCUUAACUUGUGGCAGCCAAAUUAAAAUCGGAGAACAAUCUCUGCAGGCUUCUGGGAACUAGUCAGACAGGUAUGUGAGGGAAGAAACCGGAGGGCAGCCAAAGGACUGGGAAAGUAAAGACACGGGGUAUGAGGAGGUGAAAGGGUGUGUUGCCAGGCCGUGGAUGACAGGCAUUGGCAGAGGAUGAAAUGAAAAGAUUCUGACUGGGAGAACCAGUGGUGACAACAAGAAUGGUUCUUCUGAAUGGAGGCUACAGAAUUUCUUUACUCUGCAUAACACUGAAGGCCAUUAGCCUAAACAGGUGAGAAGGAAAAGCAUUUAAUCUGGUGUAUGGAAAUUGAAGCCCUCCUGCAAACUUCUCUAAGGAAGGAUCCUGAUUUGAAAGGCUAUUAAUGUUUGGCAGCAACUACAGCAAAUAGACUAGAAGGGGGCCACAAGCCACGUAAUGUGGGAAGCCUUCAGAAGCCAGAAAAAGCAAGGAAAUGGAUCCUCCCCAGAGCUUCCAGAAAAGAACACAGCCCUGCUGACACCUUGAUUUUCACCCAGUGAGAGGCAUGUCAGACUUCUUUCUUUUUUUUCUUAUUU